CGACGAAUCUUCCGCAAUGGGCGCAAGCCUGACGGAGCGACGCCGCGUGUGGGAUGAAGCGCCUUCGGCGUGUAAACCACUGUCAGGGGACAGAAACACUGAUUGUCCUCAGAGGAAGGGGCGACUAACUCUGUGCCAGCAGUCGCGGUAAGACAGAGGCCCCGAGCGUUAAUCGGAAUUACUGGGCUUAAAGGGUGCGUAGGCGGACCAGCAAGUGCUUUGUGAAAGCCCCCGGCUCAACCGGGGAACUGCGGGGCAUACUGCUGGUCUUGAGGCAGGUAGGGGUCGCGAGAACAGUAGGUGGAGCGGUGAAAUGCGUAGAUAUCUACUGGAAUGCCGAUGGUGAAGACGCGCGACUGGGCCUGUCCUGACGCUGAGGCACGAAAGCGUGGGGAGCAAACAGGAUUAGAUACCCGGGUAGUCC
rnacentral:rRNA from 1 species